rnacentral:rRNA from 1 species
AGUGAACGCUGGCGGUAGGCCUAACACAUGCAAGUCGAACGGCAGCACAGUAAGAGCUUGCUCUUACGGGUGGCGAGUGGCGGACGGGUGAGGAAUACAUCGGAAUCUACUUUUUCGUGGGGGAUAACGUAGGGAAACUUACGCUAAUACCGCAUACGACCUACGGGUGAAAGCAGUGGAUCUUCGGACCUUGCGCGAUUGAAUGAGCCGAUGUCGGAUUAGCUAGUUGGCGGGGUAAAGGCCAACCAAGGCGACGAUCCGUAGCUGGUCUGAGAGGAUGAUCAGCCACACUGGAACUGAGACACGGUCCAGACUCCUACGGGAGGCAGCAGUGGGGAAUAUUGGACAAUGGGCGCAAGCCUGAUCCAGCCAUACCGCGUGGGUGAAGAAGGCCUUCGGGUUGUAAAGCCCUUUUGUUGGGAAAGAAAAGCAGCAGGUUAAUACCCCGCUGUUCUGACGGUACCCAAAGAAUAAGCACCGGCUAACUUCGUG